rnacentral:rRNA from 1 species
CGAAUGCUGACAUAAGUAACGAUAAAGCGGGUGAAAAGCCCGCUCGCCGGAAGACCAAGGGUUCCUGUCCAACGUUAAUCGGGGCAGGGUGAGUCGACCCCUAAGGCGAGGCCGAAAGGCGUAGUCGAUGGGAAACAGGUUAAUAUUCCUGUACUUGGUGUUACUGCGAAGGGGGGACGGAGAAGGCUAUGUUGGCCGGGCGACGGUUGUCCCGGUUUAAGCGUGUAGGCUGGUUUUCCAGGCAAAUCCGGAAAAUCAAGGCUGAGGCGUGAUGACGAGGCACUACGGUGCUGAAGCAACAAAUGCCCUGCUUCCAGGAAAAGCCUCUAAGCAUCAGGUAACAUCAAAUCGUACCCCAAACCGACACAGGUGGUCAGGUAGAGAAUACCAAGGCGCUUGAGAGAACUCGGGUGAAGGAACUAGGCAAAAUGGUGCCGUAACUUCGGGAGAAGGCACGCUGAUAUGUAGGUGAAGUCCCUCGCGGAUGGAGCUGAAAUCAGUCGAAGAUACCAGCUGGCUGCAACUGUUUAUUAAAAACACAGCACUGUGCAAACACGAAAGUGGACGUAUACGGUGUGACGCCUGCCCGGUGCCGGAAGGUUAAUUGAUGGGGUCAGCGCAAGCGAAGCUCUUGAUCGAAGCCCCGGUAAACGGCGGCCGUAACUAUAACGGUCCUAAGGUAGCGAAAUUCCUUGUCGGGUAAGUUCCGACCUGCACGAAUGGCGUAAUGAUGGCCAGGCUGUCUCCACCCGAGACUCAGUGAAAUUGAACUCGCUGUGAAGAUGCAGUGUACCCGCGGCAAGACGGAAAGACCCCGUGAACCUUUACUAUAGCUUGACACUGAACAUUGAGCCUUGAUGUGUAGGAUAGGUGGGAGGCUUUGAAGUGUGGACGCCAGUCUGCAUGGAGCCGACCUUGAAAUACCACCCUUUAAUGUUUGAUGUUCUAACGUUGACCCGUGAUCCGGGUUGCGGACAGUGUCUGGUGGGUAGUUUGACUGGGGCGGUCUCCUCCUAAAGAGUAACGGAGGAGCACGAAGGUUGGCUAAUCCUGGUCGGACAUCAGGAGGUUAGUGCAAUGGCAUAAGCCAGCUUGACUGCGAGCGUGACGGCGCGAGCAGGUGCGAAAGCAGGUCAUAGUGAUCCGGUGGUUCUGAAUGGAAGGGCCAUCGCUCAACGGAUAAAAGGUACUCCGGGGAUAACAGGCUGAUACCGCCCAAGAGUUCAUAUCGACGGCGGUGUUUGGCACCUCGAUGUCGGCUCAUCACAUCCUGGGGCUGAAGUAGGUCCCAAGGGUAUGGCUGUUCGCCAUUUAAAGUGGUACGCGAGCUGGGUUUAGAACGUCGUGAGACAGUUCGGUCCCUA